UGCCCAGCAACUCCUAUCCCUACCUCCUCGUGGUACUGGCCGGGGUACGAGUAACCUUGGGUUUCGACAUCGUAGCGCUGCAGGAGGUGUGCUGGACAGG
rnacentral:ribozyme from 1 species